GUGACCUAUCAUAUCCUCCACUGGUCCCGGGUUCCUCUCGUCUUCCCUAAAAAGGCUGUCACUUGAGUGACGGUCCCUGAGAGAAGAUGCCAGCCCGGGUCCCACACUCCGCGCCACCCGCCCCCCAAGAAAAGGAAUGAGCUCAUCUGAGUGACAACACAAUACGGGCAGCUCCGGGCGGAUUUUCCCAUUACCAAAACAUGGCGGCCCCAGCGCCCGCGAUGAAGAAACUCUCGGGCGGCCCCGGCAAGCGAGCCGUCCGCUCGGUGCUCCUCCUCCCGACCUGCGGCGCCACUGUCUCUCUGCUUCUGCGCGAGCCCGCCUGGCCGGCAACUUCAAACUCGGCUCGGGCAUCUAUCGCUCUGGCCUGAAUGUAGGCCCCGCCUCCCUGGGAAGGGGCGUGGCCUCGCCGUCCAGCUGUUUGCCAUUUCGGAGAUGGGCAGGCUGUAGGGCCAAUCGUCGCCGGCGCUUGGGAGAGGCUGUUGGCAGCUGAGAAGGGCCAGCGAUUGGCCGCCUCCCAGGGGUCUGAGGCCAGAGGGAGGAAGGCCAACUUGCCAGCAUCGCGAGGCCGGGAAGUACCUGAGGAUGCUCGGCGUCGACGGCUGUCCAGCUUGGGCGCAUCCCCUCCAGAGUCGGGCACUAGGGUUAUCAAAUCGCGACUCCACCACUUACCGGUUAGGUGGGAAAGUCCCUAAACUUUCCUGAAACUCAGUUUCCUCAGCUGUAAAUUGGUGGUUCCUUUCCCCCCAUCAGAUUGGCAAGAAGUUAAAAAGUGGUAAUAUCCAGUGUGGUCCAAAGCAGAUGAAAGCCCGUCGUGGACCCGCCCUCCAUCAGCACUGGCCGGAAUGGGUCUGGGGAGGGCAAUUGAUUCUCUAUUGACAUGUUUAAUGUACAUACCCUUCCUCCCACCAAUGCCACUUCUAGGUACGAAUUCUAAAGCAAUAUGAACACCUAUGCACAAAAAAGGGAUGUGCAAAGAUGUUUAUUGCCAUAUUGUUUGCGUUAGAGAUACACUCGCACUAUUUAUAGGAAACUGUAGGGCUGGCUCAUUCUUUUUUAACAGAUAGAUGAUAGGUCUUCCGUACUAUGGAGCUAGCUCUGUUUAUGCAACCAGUUUCCUAUAAAUAAUAUUCAGGCAAUAUGUGCAGUAUAAA